CUUGGGCGAUUGUAUACCAAAAACACAAGUCUCCACAAAGUUGUAAAGCCACGUAUUGGGACUGACGCCUGCCCAGUGCCGGAAGGUCAAGGAAGUUGGCACCUGAUGAUAGGGGAGCAGGUGACCGCAACCCCCCUAAACAACAGUUGUAACUAUGACGGUCCUAUGGUAGCGAAAUUUCUUGUCAGGUAAGUUCCAACCCUCACGAAAAGCGUAACGAUCUGGG
rnacentral:ncRNA from 1 species